CAGCAGUCAGUGCUCAUAACCACACCACCUUUCAUCUAACCUGCCCCUUAGAGACAGGUCGCCCGUUUUCACCGCGCCGUCCUACUUUUUUGGGGUGCUUGAGGGGGUCGGGCCGAGUUCAUCCCGCGUUCACUGUGCUCGGGCGGGAGAGCAGGGACCGUUUGUGCCACUCGGGAGAAGUGGUACCUGCACCACUGUGCGUGGGUGAGCGUCCCCCUGAGCUAGGGAGGACCCUGCGGAGAGACGGAGUGCGUGCGUGAGGAGUGGUCUGCAUUGGUUUGCUUGAUCGAGACCGAUGUCGGGUGACACCUAGCGGUGACAAGUUUCCCCGGUUGAUGACAAGGACGGGAAGCCCCUUCCUUGAGCUGGCCAGAGGUCUGGAGUCCCUUCCAGCCAGCAAACGCCUCCUUUGUCCCGGAGAUGGUGUCACGUGAGGUACCCAAGUCUGUACAAGUCCCUGCUUGGUGUGUCCUGGUCUUUCUGCCACCUGCCUCCCGAGUGCACUGCUUUGCCCACCUCACAGAGUUGCUUUCUUGGAGGGAAGCUUGAGGCAAACUCUCUCUAUAUCCUCUCCCUCCAGAGGACAGACAGGGAACUGGGUCAUCAUUAGCACUUGAGGUUGCCCUGGGAAAUCAGAAGGGAAGCCAAAAUCAAAGUGUUUUUGGUAAAGCACCAGGACUACAUACCAGCCCAUCUGGACUCACUGCCCUUCCUCCCAGAGCAAGGAUGAUCCCAGCAAAGAAAGGGUACUCUUUAGAUAAAAGAGCCUGCUUACAAUUCUUUGCACGUAAACUGGAUUUAAAUAACUGUCAUCUAGAGGAGAGCAAGCAUAGAGAACAACAACAACAACAAAGACAACAACAACAACAAAGACAACAACAACAACAAAAACAAAGACAACAACA
rnacentral:sRNA from 1 species